rnacentral:lncRNA from 1 species
AAAACUUACUUUACCUGGCAGUUAUACUUCACUCUGAAAUUACCUGAGGAAUAAGUCCCUCCUAAAAGAUUGUAUAUUAAAUGUAGAUGGUUUUGGGUUGGUGAAAGUGGCAUACCAGGGUUUCCAGCAACAGUUAUUUAUCUGCCAUUUGGGAGAGAGGGGGAUGCUUGUCAAGCAAAUAGUUGUUGCAUAAUAACUGAUUUUUGGCCAGUCAUGGUGGCUCACUUCUGUAGUCCGUGCAAUUUGGGAGGCUAAGGUAGGUGGAUUACUUGAGCCCAGGAGUUCGAAACCAGCCUGGGCAAUGUAGUGAAAUCCCAUCUCUACAAAAAGUACAAAAAAUAACCUGGCAUAGAGGUGCAUGCCUGUGGCCCCAGCUACUUGGGAGACUGAGGCGGGAGGAUCAUUUGAGCCUGGGAGAUCAAGGCUCCAGUGAGCUGUGAUCAUGCCACUGCAUUCCAGCCUGGGUAGCAGAGUAAGAACCUGUCUCAAGAAAUUCAAAAAACUGAUUUUCUCAUAUCUCUUUGACAGUGGACCAUGCACAUAAUAAGCAGAAAGAGGAAUAAAAAGGGAUCUUGGCUUUAAAGAUCAGUUAUGUCCAGCCUCCCAAAACUACACUGGUCAGUACCACCAGAGUACUCAGAGAGUUGCUGUUUUUGCUGAAAUGGUGAUUAUAAUUAUCUGGCAGAUUUUCAGGUAUACCAAUGGCAUGACCUAACCAUCAGCCUGUAUUAUUACAUAACCAGUCUGUAUUAUUGCUUACCAGGGCAGGUCAUGCUGUUGACCGAUUCUAGCUCCCAGGCCAGUAUUAAUUUGCUAUUGGUGGAAGAAAAGGAAUGAAAAUAUUCUUGAAAAUCAGUAUGUCAAAGAAUAUAACCCAGACGAAUGGAGCCAAAAAAAAAAAAAAAAAAAAAAAAAACAAAAAAAAAAACCAAGACAAAACAUAGCUGAGUUUACUUAUUUGCCAGAUAUUCAGAUAGUCACGUUCAUUGGAAUAGUAGAUUGAAGCCUUAACUUCAUCCAUCUGGAACAGCUAAUACACCGUGGAACUUCAGUGCUACAUUGGCUUACUUUAACUACAUUGAGG